GUGUUUGAGAAAGUACCCUUAAACACACAGAAAAAUGGGGUUGGACUUCCUUCCUGGUGUUGGAGAGAGGAGCUUGUUCAGCCCAGUCUGAUGUGGUGUGCUGCCUCUUCUUGGUUCAGCCCGAAGAUUCAGACCCAAUCACUUCUUAAGGAAAGACUGGAAACAAUGUUGGAAGCCACCUAUUGGAGAAUGAUUGAGAAAAUUAUAUUAUCCAUGAGCCAAUGGUGUAUUCAUAAAUUCCUGGAAGAUGGUCUAUUAUCCUUGAAGAAUGCAAGUGAAUUCCAGAGAGUCUGUUUUAUUAUCUCUGCAACAUUGUCUAUGAUUCAAGAAAAUCUAGUCUGAUAUUGCUGUGACAUUAAUUCCCUACUCAGAUGACACUGCCAAUGACACUAUUUUCCAUAGUGACAAUAUGGAAGAAAAGAUUAUUGCUAGAAUUGCUUUCUGAAUUUCUAGUCAAUUGUAAAUAUUAAAAAUUAAUUUGCCAUACUCCAAGUAUUAUAUUUAAUUAAUAAUAAAACUUGAAGCAAAGGAAAACA
rnacentral:lncRNA from 1 species